rnacentral:lncRNA from 1 species
GGGACUGGCGCUGGAGCCCAGCGUGGGAUGACCGUGCCCCGAAAACAUGCCAGUGAAUGGAAAGAAGCCAAGGUCCCCUCCCUCCCUGCUUAUACCCUCAACUUUGCCAAUGAGGACCCUAAAUACCAGCUGCACUACAGGGGAUGUAACUACAUACACCGUCACCAAAGUUGCAGCCUGGCCAAGAAAUGCCAGGGGACGUCGCGGCGAUUGCAGACUCCGCGGUGACUGUGUAGAUACGUCCAGAAUUCGCCCUUGUAGCGCGGGGAGAGGCGAGAGUGAAGGCCUAGAAAAAAAGAAGAAUAAAUGGGACAUUACACAAGGUGCGAAGCGCAAUUUUGAAUUACAAAGGGGGAGUUGUUUUCACAGUGACCUCUGAAAGAUUCUCCCGGGGUCUGAAAGCUUGGAGGGAUAACUCCUCCCUUCUCAGGCCCAGUCCCAAGGCUCAAGGCCACUUGCGUGCAUCAGCAAGACAGCAGAAGCAGGAAGAGAGCUGCCAGGAAGACACCUACCCUGGCCGGAAGACACCUACUCUGGCAGGGAGACAUGUACCCCUGAAGAUUGAGAAAGAGGCCGUCUGGGUACUACGUAGCAGUCACGUCAGACUGGGACACUUCUUGUUUACAGAGGACUAUAAAACCCCUGCCCCAUCCUCACUUGGUGCUGACGCCAUUUUAGGCCUCAGCCUGCCUGCACCCAGGCGCUCAUUAAAACAGCAUGUUGCUCCACACCGCCUUGUGUUAUCUGUUGGUGUGCUCUCGGGGUUUGAACCAAUACAAGAACCUUUCAACCUCUUUGUUUGUUAUGGAAUAAAAAAUAACUAUCGUG